rnacentral:tRNA from 1 species
GGCUGUGGCUCAGCGGUAGAGUUCUGGCCUCACACGGGGGUGGCCCUGUGGCCCUGGGUUCCAUCCUCAGCACCA